rnacentral:lncRNA from 1 species
UCCCCCGCUCGCCUCCACCCCCGCCGGCCGGACCCGCCUCGCCUCUCCCGCUCCUCCGCUCCGGUGAUUAUUCUUCUUCCUAUUAUAUCAAUUUUUAUUAUUAUUAUUAUCGCUGUUAUUAUUAUCGUUACCCUCCUCCCGUCCUCUCCUUCCUCUCCCCGCCUGGCCAGCCCCGUUUCCCCGCCAGCCACCGGACCCGCUGCCUCCGGCUCCUGCCCGCCCCGGGCGCCCAGGGCUGCUGGCAUCUCCCCGUGACCAUGCAGCGCUGCCUGUCCCGGCCGGCCACCCUGGGGCCGGUGUGACCGUGACACCCUGCCUGUCCUUUUCUGGGUCCAACGCCUCCGUCACUGAAC